CUGACUCCUGAGAGAGACGGUUGGGGACUCAGCUUGAUGCAUUCCUCUGCUCAUGAAUAGCGAUCGCCUACGGCAAGACAGUUUAUACGAACCCCAUCCGAUACCGGGAAAGAUUCAGCCAAUUUUCUUCAAAACAUGAAGUUUCAUGCAUACAUGUUUCAUGUAUUUCCAACCUCUGUUUUUUUUUGGCGAAGAUAUGUAAUAAAUUUCUCUUAGUAGGCUAGCCUGCUUCUUGAUUAC
rnacentral:lncRNA from 1 species